rnacentral:rRNA from 1 species
UUUUUUGGGCGUUCGGUGGAUGCCUUGGCACCAGGGGCCGAUGAAGGACGUGGCGGCCUGCGAUAUGCCUCGGGGAGCCGGCUUGCGGGCUGUGAUCCGAGGGUUUCCGAAUGGGGGUACCCGGCGCGGGUUGUGCCGUGUCACCCGUCCUUGAAUUGAUAGGGGGCGGGGGGUUACGCGGGGAAGUGAAACAUCUCAGUACCCGUAGGAGAGGAUAUUCCGUUAGUAGUGGCGAGCGAACGCGGAGGAGGUUAAACCGUGGUCGUGUGAUUACUCGGCAGGGGUUGCGGCUGCGGGGUUGUGGGGCGUGCCUGUGGGUUUGCUGCCGUGGGCCCGCGUGCUUGCUGGUGGGUAGCCGGAUCCUUUGGGAAGGGGAGCCGUAGAGGGUGAUAGCCCCGUAGGUUGAACCUGCUGGUUGUGCGUGGGGUGCGUUCCCUUUUGUAGCGUGGGGUUCGUGGAGUCCUGCGUGAGUCUGCCAGGACCACCUGGCUGCCUAAAUACUUCCUGGUGACCGAUAGCGGAUUAGUACCGUGAGGGAAUGGUGAAAAGUACCCCGGGAGGGGAGUGAAAGAGUACCUGAAACCGGGCGCCUGCAAGCCGUCAGAGCCUGUUUGUUCCUGCUUUUUGUGGGGGCGGGUGGGUGGUGGCGUGCCUUUUGAAGAAUGAGCCUGCGAGUCAGGGCGUGUCGCGAGGUUAACCUGUUGUGGGGUAGUCGUAGCGAAAGCGAGUCCGAAGUUUGGGCGGUUUAGUGGCGCGUUCUGGACCCGAAGCGGGGUGAUCUACCCAUGGCCAGGUUGAGGCACGUGUAAGAGCGUGUGGAGGACCGAACCCACCUCGGUUGAAAACGGGGGGGAUGAGCUGUGGGUAGGGGUGAAAGGCCAAUCAAACUCCGUGAUAGCUGGUUCUCCCCGAAAUGCAUUUAGGUGCAGCGUCGCGUGUUGCCGUGCGGAGGUAGAGCACUGGUUGGUUGAGGGGCCUUACAGGGUUACUGAUGCCAGUCAAACUCCGAAUGCCGUGUCGGUUCUAGCGUGGCAGUGAGACUGCGGGGGAUAAGCUUCGUAGUCGAGAGGGAAACAGCCCAGAUCGUCGGCUAAGGCCCCUAAGAGUACGCUAAGUGGGAAAGGAUGUGCGGUCGCGGUGACAGCCAGGAGGUUGGCUCAGAAGCAGCCAUCCUUGAAAGAGUGCGUAAUAGCUCACUGGUCGAGUGGUCGUGCGCCGACAAUGUAGCGGGGCUCAAGCGUACCGCCGAAGCCGCGGAUCCCGGCCCCCCUUUUUUUUGGGUGGUCGGGGUGGUAGGGGAGCGUCCUGCGUUGGGUGAAGCCCGGGGGUGACCUGCGGGUGGACGGCGUGGGAGUGAGAAUGCAGGCAUGAGUAGCGAGACCGGGGUGGGAUUCCCCGGCGCCGUAUGACCAAGGGUUCCAGGGGCAGGUUCGUCCUCCCUGGGUGAGUCGGGGCCUAAGGCGAGGCCGACAGGCGUAGUCGAUGGAUGACGGGUUGAUAUUCCCGUACCGGUAGGACACCGUCCAUGCUGACGCGCGGGUGCUAACCCACGCCGCUGCCGCCCGUUCGCGGGUGCGGCCCGUCCGGUCUUCGGGCCGGGGGUCGUGCCUGUGGGUGGGGGCGGUCUGGGGAUCCUCCGUGCUGGUAGGCAAGCGUGUUAACAGGGGUGACGCACAGAGGUAGCCCGGCGGGGCUUGUGGCUUGUCCCGUUCAAGCGUGUGGCCCGGCGCCCAGGUAAAUCCGGGCGCCACACCCUCUUGGCCGUGGUUUCACGGGCGGGGGGGUUGGGUGAGGCGUGAUGGUGACCCCGCCCGUUGGGGCGGGGGAUAGCAGGGUGAUCCUGGGGUGCCUAGAAAAGCCUCGACGCGAGGUGUUCUACCGCCCGUACCCGAAACCGACACAGGUGGUCGGGCAGAGUAUGCCCAGGCGGGCGAGUGAAUCAUGGUUAAGGAACUCGGCAAAAUGCCCCCGUAACUUCGGGAGAAGGGGGGCCCGGGCCCUGAAGCCCCUUUUUUUGCGGGCUAGGGGUGAGGGCCGCAGUGACCAGGGAGGAGCGACUGUUUACUAAAAACACAGGUCCGUGCGAAGCCGUAAGGCGAUGUAUACGGACUGACGCCUGCCCGGUGCUGGAAGGUUAAGAGGAUCCGUCAGUCCCACGCUCUUGUGGGGUGAAGCGGUGAGCCCAAGCCCCAGUAAACGGCGGUGGUAACUAUAACCAUCCUAAGGUAGCGAAAUUCCUUGUCGGGUAAGUUCCGACCUGCACGAAUGGCGUAACGACUCCUCUACUGUCUCAACCAUGAGCUCGGCGAAAUUGCAUUACGAGUAAAGAUGCUCGUUACGCGCAGAAGGACGGAAAGACCCCGGGACCUUUACUAUAGCUUGGUAUUGACGUCCGCCAUGGCUUGUGCAGGAUAGGUGGGAGACUGUGAGGCCGGCACGCUAGUGCUGGUGGAGUCGUUGUUGGGAUACCACUCUGGCUGUGGCGUGCGUCUGAACCUCGGCCCGUGAUCCGGGUCAGGGACAGUGCCUGGUGGGUAGUUUAACUGGGGCGGUUGCCUCCUAAAGAGUAACGGAGGCGCUCAAAGGUUCUCUCAGCCUGGUCGGCAACCAGGUGUUGAGUGCAAGCGCACAAGAGGGCCUGACUGUGAGACCGACGGGUCGAGCAGGCACGAAAGUGGGAGCUAGUGAUCCGGCGAUCCCGUGUGGGUGGGUCGUCGCUCAACGGAUAAAAGGUACCCCGGGGAUAACAGGCUGAUCCUGCCCAAGAGUCCAUAUCGACGGCAUGGUUUGGCACCUCGAUGUCGGCUCGUCGCAUCCUGGGGCUGGAGCAGGUCCCAAGGGUUGGGCUGUUCGCCCAUUAAAGCGGUACGCGAGCUGGGUUUAGAACGUCGUGAGACAGUUCGGUCCCUAUCCUCUGCGCGCGCAGGAGACUUGAGGAGGCCUGUCCCUAGUACGAGAGGACCGGGACGGACGAACCUCUGGUGCGCCAGUUGUCCCGCCAGGGGCACGGCUGGUUGGCUACGUUCGGGCCGGGUAACCGCUGAAAGCAUCUAAGCGGGAAACCGACUCCAAGAUAAGGUCUCCGCAAGCCGUCCCCGUCCGCGGGGGUGGUUUGGAAGGCUCCCAGCAGACUACUGGGUAGAUAGGCCAGAUGUGGAAGCAGGCAGCCCCACCAGGGGGUCAACCUGCUGAUGAGCUGACUGGUACUAACAACAGCCGAA